rnacentral:lncRNA from 1 species
UGCCGUAUGUCCAGGGACUUGACAAUAAGUACACGUAGGUUUGCCUGGAUUAGCUUUGAAGCACCUUUCCAAAGAAUGUCCAGGGAUUUUGCAAAAGGUACAAUAGUACCUAUCCUUCUUUUGUGUCCCAAUAGGCUGCUUACUUCCUUCUCUAAAGCUUCCUCUACUUAUCAAGGCCAUAGAAUCACUGCUGGGGCUAUCAUUAGAGAUUUCUCUCCUCUUUUCCUCUUGUUGGAUGAUAGAGUAAACUUCAUUCAGAUCUGGGAAAGGCUUAAUCAACAGAAUUUGUGCCUUUAAUCCCUUAUAUGUUUCAUUAAGACCCAUUAAAAACUUCAUCACCCAAUCUCUUUGCUAGUUUUGAACUACCACUUUCAAGCCUCCACAGGUACAAUUAGGAACUGUCUCAUAAUUUAGCAAUUCAUCCAGUAAGGUUUUGAGCUUAGAGAAAUACACACUCACAGAAUCUUGGUUUUGCAUCAAGG